rnacentral:rRNA from 1 species
GGAAUAUUGCACAAUGGGGGAAACCCUGAUGCAGCGACGCCGCGUGGGCGACGAAGCGCUCCGGCGCGUAAAGCCCUGUCAGCAGGGAAGAAAAAAGACAGUACCUGACCAAGAAGCCCCGGCUAACUACGUGCCAGCAGCCGCGGUAAUACGUAGGGGGCAAGCGUUAUCCGGAUUCACUGGGCGUAAAGGGAGCGCAGGCGGCACGGCAAGUCUGGUGUGAAAGCCCGGGGCCCAACCCCGGGACUGCAUUGGAAACUGCCGGGCUGGAGUGCCGGAGGGGUAAGCGGAAUUCCUGGUGUAGCGGUGAAAUGCGCAGAUAUCAGGAAGAACAGCGGUGGCGGAGGCGGCUUACUGGACGGCAACUGACGCUGAGGCUCGAAAGCGUGGGGAGCAAAC